rnacentral:rRNA from 1 species
UACAGAGGGUGCGAGCGUUAAUCGGAAUUAUUGGGCGUAAAGGGUGCGUAGGCGGAUACACAAGUGCUAGGUGAAAGACCCGGGCUUAACCUGGGGAGGUCCUAUCAGACUGUGUGUCUAGAAUGUGGUAGAGGAAGGUGGAAUUCCUGGUGUAGCGGUGAAAUGCGUAGAUAUCAGGAAGAACAUCGAUGGCGAAGGCAACCUUCUGGGCCAUUAUUGGCGCUGAGGCACGAAAGCGUGGGGAGCGAACAGG